rnacentral:tRNA from 1 species
GGGUGAUUAGCUCAGUUGGGAGAGCAUCGCCCUUACAAGGCGAGGGUCACUGGUUCGAACCCAGUAUCACCCACCA